rnacentral:misc_RNA from 1 species
CAGAGUUGCAAAACUCCCAAACCAUUGUGAACCUACCCAAAACCGUUGCUUCGGCGGGUGGGAUCCCGGGAUUCCCGGGUUGCCCCUCGGCCCCCUACGGGGCGCCCGCCGGAGGUACAUAAACCCUGUACUCUGUAUGGCCUCUCUGAGUCUCUGUACUGAAUAAGUCAA